rnacentral:rRNA from 1 species
CCUACGGGAGGCAGCAGUGGGGAAUAUUGGACAAUGGGGGAAACCCUGAUCCAGCGACGCCGCGUGAGUGAAGCAGUAUUUCGGUACGUACAGCUCUAUCAGCAGGAAAGAAAAUGACGGUACCUGACUAAGAAGCCCCGGCUAACUACGUGCCAGCAGCCGCGGUAAUACGUAGGGGGCAAGCGUUAUCCGGAUUUACUGGGUGUAAAGGGAGCGUAGACGGCAUGGCAAGUCUGAAGUGAAAGCUCGGGGCUCAACCGCGGGACUGCUUUGGAAACUGUUAAGCUGGAGUGCAGGAGAGGUAAGUGGAAUUCCUGGUGUAGCGGUGAAAUGCGUAGAUAUUAGGAGGAACACCAGUGGCGAAGGCGGCUUACUGGACUGUAACUGACGUUGAGGCUCGAAAGCGUGGGGAGCAAACAGGAUUAGAUACCCUGGUAGUC